rnacentral:rRNA from 1 species
GUGGGGAAUCUUGCGCAAUGGGCGAAAGCCUGACGCAGCCAUGCCGCGUGAAUGAUGAUGGUCUUAGGAUUGUAAAAUUCUUUCACCGGGGACGAUAAUGACGGUACCCGGAGAAGAAGCUCCGGCUAACUUCGUGCCAGCAGCCGCGGUAAUACGAAGGGGGCUAGCGUUGCUCGGAAUUACUGGGCGUAAAGGGCGCGUAGGCGGACAGCUUAGUCAGAGGUGAAAGCCCAGGGCUCAACCUUGGAAUUGCCUUUGAUACUGGCUGUCUUGAGUUUGGGAGAGGUGAGUGGAACUCCGAGUGUAGAGGUGAAAUUCGUAGAUAUUCGGAAGAACACCAGUGGCGAAGGCGACUCACUGGCCCGUUACUGACGCUGAGGCGCGAAAGCGUGGGGAGCAAACAGGAUUAGAAACCCGUGUAGUCC